rnacentral:rRNA from 1 species
AUUGAACGCUGGCGGCAGGCCUAACACAUGCAAGUCGAGCGGAUGAAGGGUGCUUGCUCCUGGAUUCAGCGGCGGACGGGUGAGUAAUGCCUAUGAAUCUGCCUGGUAGUGGGGGAUAACGUCCGGAAACGGGCGCUAAUACCGCAUACGUCCUGAGGGAGAAAGUGGGGGAUCUUCGGACAUCACGCUAUCAGAUGAGCCUAGGUCGGAUUAGCUAGUUGGUGGGUUAAAGGCCUACCAAGGCGACGAUCCGUAACUGGUCUGAGAGGAUGAUCAGUCACACUGGAACUGAGACACGGUCCAGACUACUAAGGGAGGCAGCAGUGGGGAAUGUUGGACAAUGGGCGAGAGUCUGAUACAGCCAUGGCGCGUGUGUGAAGAAGGUGUUCGGAUUGGAAAGCACUUUAAGUUGGGAGGAAGGGCAGUAAGUUAAUACCUUGCUGUUUUGACGUUAACAACAGAAUAAGCACCGGCUAACUUCGUG